rnacentral:rRNA from 1 species
UACAGAGGUCCCAAGCGUUGUUCGGAUUUACUGGGCGUAAAGGGUGCGUAGGUGGCGGGGUAAGUCUGGUGUGAAAGCUCCGAGCUCAACUCGGAAAAGCAUUGGAAACUAUCCCGCUGGAGGGUCGGAGGGGAGACUGGAAUUCUCGGUGUAGCAGUGAAAUGCGUAGAUAUCGAGAGGAACACUCGUGGCGAAGGCGAGCUACUGGACAACAUCUGACGCUGAGGCUCGAAGGCUAGGGGAGCAAAAGGG